rnacentral:lncRNA from 1 species
CAGUUUUGUGGGAAGUAAAUGAUGAGUAAUCCUCUUGGUCCGUGUUUAUGAUAAACUGAUUCAACUUCAAGAGGUCUGAGGUACUUCAUGUAAAUACUGUAUAUAUUAAUCCUUGUUGGUUCUAGUGUACUAAUGCAUAAUUUUCUGCUGACGGACAGGCCUCCAACCUGAAGUACUUUGGAGUGAUGGUUGCUGCAUCAAGAACACAUCUGGGUAGUUGUGGCUUGGAUUUCUACCAAUGUGGGUGUGCUCCAACUGUAGAUGUCCCCACACUUUUUAACCCAGGAUUAACAAACUGAAAAUUAACAGUAUUAUACAAGCAACUACAACACUACAAUGUUUUUGGCCUCCAACCUGAAGUACUUUGGAGUGAUGGAUGCUGCAUCAAGAACACAUCUGGGUAGUUGUGGCUUGGAUUUCUACCAAUGUGGGUGUGCUCCAACUAUAGAUGUCCCCACACUUUUUAACCCAGGAUUAACGAACUGAAAAUUAACAGUAUUAUACAAGCAACUACAACACUACAAUGUUUUUGGCCUCCAACCUGAAGUACUUUGGAGUGAUGGAUGCUGCAUCAAGAACACAUCUGGGUAGUUGUGGCUUGGAUUUCUACCAAUGUGGGUGUGCUCCAACUGUAGAUGUCCACACUUUUUAACCCAGGAUUAACAAACUGAAAAUUAACAGUAUUAUACAAGCAACUACAACACUACAAUGUUUUUGGCCUCCAACCUGGAGUACUUUGGAGUGAUGGAUGCUGCAUCAAGAACUCAUCUGGGUAGUUGUGGCUUGGAUUUCUACCAGUAUGGAGGUUUCUUUCAACUGAGCAGCAGACGCUUACCUCAACUAUUGUACUGAAUUUGGAGGAUGUUACUGUUCAAAGUGAAUGUUGUCAAGGUGAAGGCUCUCGGUUACAUGUUGGACAUGGGUGUGCAGAAAUGUGAUGUGGUGUGGCAGGAACUCUUGGUUAUCGGCACAAUUACAGUAUAGAAAGAGACUGGGCAUUUGAUGUUACUUCAGGGCAGUUAUUGGGUCCCAGCACAAAGGAAAUGCUUGAUCUUCAUGGCACCUGGAAGACCAAGAAUAGACACAGUUCAGUAUGCUGGUGAUUGGCCCUCUUCUCCUACCCUAUGUAGUUGGUUUAAGUAUGAUUAUAAUAUAAUUGGUAAGCUUGUUAAACUAAAUUCACAUAAAUUCAUUUUUGUAAAUGUUUAGACAAUGUUAGUAUCAUUAGUGUUUUCAUUUGUUACAAAUUGCAGGGAGAACUUACGACAUAAACUACAUUGUGAUGUGGAAAGUGUUGUCCAAAUGGGUUUGUGUACCAUAUAUUGGGCAUUACUGUACUGUUAGUUAUGUAGUCAUAAUGUUUUCCAUAUCUAUGAAAUGUUUUAUUUCUGGGUAUGUUGCAUUUUGUUAGUUUUGUAUACAACCAAAUGGAAAAUGAGGAACAAGAUGAAUGGAUAUGGAAAGCAGACAUUUUGUGAUAGCUGAAGUAAGGAUAUACGUGUGGGUAAUAUGUAUACACUACGGGCAGCCAGGCUUGGUUUACCGAAACUAGUAGUGCCUUGUUACUACACAAUAAUCCUAGUAUUGUCAAACUGACAUAACUUAAAAUGGGGGUUUCAAUGCCUUCCAGGACACAUCAGUUUUAUGUACAGUAACAAAAGAUGUGCAAGAGGGUAAUAUUUAUAUGAAAUAAAAUUAAUACAGCAAAUACUAGAACAAACUUGAAAUGGAGAUUCUAUUUAAAUACUGUACAUAAUUUACAUGUCCGGGCAAACUCCAGAUUCCUCUCUGGUGCUCAUAAAGUUCAUAGGCUGUAUACUUUCAAUUUACGAAUUUGCUAUUAUCUCCGUUUGGCUUCAUUUAUCCUUUGUACAGUAAUUGUAAAGUACAUUUCAGGACUAGCAAGUAGCAAAACUGUCCUACUGUACUAAUGCAGUUUUGUCUUGUCAUUUAUUUCAUGAAGUGAUUAUUUCUUGUCCUUAAUUUACAUUAACUAAUGUACAGAUAUUUAGUAAAAAUGUAACCUGA